rnacentral:rRNA from 1 species
CCUCCGGGUGGCAGCAGUGAGGAAUAUUGGUCAAUGGGAGAGAUCCUGAACCAGCCAAGCCGCGUGAUGGAAGACGGCCCUAUGGGUUGUAAACCUCUUUUGUCGGAGAACAAAACCCGGGACGUGUCCCGGACUGCGUGUAUCCGAAGAAAAAGCAUCGGCUAACUCCGUGCCAGCACCCGCGGUAAUACGGGGGAUGCGAGCGUUAUCCGGAUUUAUUGGGUUAAACGGGUGCGUGGGCGGUCCGUUAUGUCAGCGGUAAAAUUGCGGGGCUAAACCCCGCCGAGCCGUUGAAACUGGCAGACUUGAGUUGGCGAGAAGUACGCGGAAUGCGCGGUGUAGCGGUGAAAUGCAUAGAUAUCGCGAGGAACUCCGAUUGCGAAGGCGGCGUACCGGCGCCAGACUGACGCUGAGGCACGAAAGCGUGGGGAUCGAACAGGAUUAGAUACCCGGGUAGUC